rnacentral:rRNA from 1 species
GUCCACGCCCUAAACGAUGCAUAUUUGGUGUGGGCAGUUCAUUCUGUCCGUGCCGGAGCUAACGCGUUAAAUAUGCCGCCUGGGGAGUACAGUCGCAAGGCUGAAACUCAAAGGAAUUGACGGGGGCCCGCACAAGCGGUGGAGCAUGUGGUUCAAUUCGACGCAACGCGAAGAACCUUACCUGGGCUCGAACGGCCGGUCAACGGUGUUGGAAACAGCGCUACCCCGCAAGGGGGUCCGGUCGAGGUGCUGCAUGGCUGUCGU